rnacentral:lncRNA from 10 species
GGCUGUUUGAAAGUGUGUGGCACUUCUCCUUCAUGCUCUCCCUGUCUCCUGCUCCACCGUGGUAAAGACGUGCUUGUUUCCUUUUCGCCUCUGCCAUGAUUCUGAGUUUCUUUAGGCCUUCCAACCAUGCUUCCUGUAAUGCCUGCAGAACUAGUGAAGUGGAAGAGAUCUUGCAACAUUUCCUGCCCCACUGACCCCCUACUUUGGGCCUUAGCCCCAAGAGAAGAAGUAUGACUACCCUACUGUUCACAAACAAAGAUGUGGAAUCAACCUAAGUGUCCAUCAAUGGAUAAUUGGAUAAAGAAAAUGUGGCAUAGAUCUAUACAAUGGAAUACUAUUCAGCUAUAAAAAAGACUGAAAUCACAUCUUUUACAAAAACAUGGAUGAAACUGGAGGCCAUUCUCUUUAAGUGAAAUCACUCGGAAAUAGAAAGUCAAAUACCGCAUGUUCUCACUUACAAGUGGGAGCUACAUAAUAUGUACUCAUGGACAUAGAGUGUGGAAUGAUGGACAUUGGAGACUUGGAAGGGUGGAGGUGGAUGGGAGGGGUUGAGGGAUGAGAAAUUAUUUAAUAGGUACAAUGUAUAUUAUUUCGGUGAUGGUUACACUAAAAACCCAGACUUCACCACUGGGCAAUAUAUCCGUGUAAUAAAACUGCAUUUGUACCCCUUAAAUUUAUACAACUAAUAAAUAAAGAAGUAUGGCUACUCUUCUAGAGAAAUAACAUGGAGAGGUCCUGAACAGCAGCA